rnacentral:rRNA from 1 species
UACGUAGGGGGCAAGCGUUGUCCGGAAUCAUUGGGCGUAAAGAGCGUGUAGGCGGCUCGGUAAGUCCGCUGUGAAAGUCCAGGGCUCAACCCUGGAAAGCCGGUGGAAACUGUCGAGCUAGAGUCCGGAAGAGGCGAGUGGAAUUCCUGGUGUAGCGGUGAAAUGCGCAGAUAUCAGGAGGAACACCAACGGCGAAGGCAGCUCGCUGGGACGGUACUGACACUAAGGCACGAAAGCGUGGGUAGCAAACGGG